UAGCCCGCGUGUCCAUUUCUCUCAUUCCCUCUCUCACAAACUGAAAUUUUCAUCUCCCUCCCACUCGUGAGAUAAAAAACCUAAACCAUCCCCUCUCUCUCGAUCUCCCGCGCGUCCCUUUCUCUCUCUCGAUCUCUCAAACCCUCUCUCAUGAAUACUCCCCUCUCACGAACCCAUCUUCUCUCCCCAGCCACCCCCUGUCUCUCAAUCUCAUGAAGACUCCCCUCUUACGACAUAAUCUGCGUCUAUUUUAGCAUGUUAUGUCAGAACCCUUUGACCCAUCACCUUUCAUGCCUCCUGUUACCAAGGGGUUUGAUGACGACUUUGAUACAACGACUAGAAGGCAACAAAGAAGCCAAGUUGCUGCCUUAGUUAGAUCAUCAACUAGUGAAAAAGUGGCUGGUUUAAAGGAGAGCAACCUAGUGAAGAUUAGAUAAAAGUUAUGGUAUGUUGCUUCCAUUCUUUACUACCAGCCACUCACCAUCUGAGACGUUUGUCCACUAAGCAUGUUUGCAUGCCAGGUUCGAAAAAGGCCUUUGAACAAGGAGCUGUCUCGAAAAGAAGAGGAUAUUGAAACCAUCUAUGAUAAUGCAUACUUAACUGUUCAUGAGCCAAAGCUAAAGGUUUCCUUUUUGCUUGCAUUACUCCUAUCCUUAUUGCAUGGAUAUAUUCAGAGAUUCUGGAGUAUAAUAGAUCUUCAUCUCCUCCCAAAGUGUGUUGUUUCUUACUAUCUUGUGGUGGAUGAUAGUGUCCAUGGCCAAUAGAAGAUCAUGAACUCAAGGUGAAGGAC